AAAAACAAAAAGCUUCAGAAAAUAAAGUGUAUUCUGCAUGCUGUAAAACAUGAGUCUUAAGAACAUAAGUGUAAAACCUCGGUUGCUUUCUAAAAACAAUCUGACAGCACACAUAGAAGAUCUGUUUUGUUUCAACAGAUGGGGCAGACAUGGAAAAAAAAAAACACAGUAUGGCUCUAGCUAAACAUCCACAAAGAUACAGAACUAGAAGUACCUGAAAAACAAAAGGACAAAACUCUCUCUACACAAGGAAAUGGCAGUAAAGAACUUACAGAAAGAAUUCUCACAGGAUCAUUAACAAAGACAAAAACACAGUAAGAG
rnacentral:lncRNA from 1 species